rnacentral:misc_RNA from 1 species
CAGGGCCAAGGGAAUUUCCCGUGCCGAGUGUGAAACAAGCAGCCAUGGCCUUAAAGAAGGGAUGGAAGGCAGCCUGGAAAGGAUUAUCAUUGAACAGAAGAAAUGAAAUGGCGUUCAAGAAGCUGACAAUAAAACCACCGCAAGCGGGGACGAAGAUGACCCGAACCCAGAUGGAAUCGAGAGGUUCCUCCCUCAACCAGGAGGCACCUCUGUAGGGAAUUCCAUCCCAGAAAAAGUCGCGAAUUUCAUGAACAGCGUUAUUGAAAAGAACUACAGCAAUUCCAGUAAGGACCCCCACAACGCAAGAGGAUAUUAUUACACCAGA